rnacentral:rRNA from 1 species
UACGGAGGGUGCAAGCGUUAUCCGGAUUUACUGGGGUUAAAGGGAGCGCAGGCGGAUUGGUAAGUCAGACGUGAAAUCCCUCGGCUUAACCGGGGAACUGCGUCUGAUACUGGAUGGCUUGAGUUUGGGAGAGGGAUGCGGAAUUCCAGGUGUAGCGGUGAAAUGCGUAGAUAUCUGGAGGAACACCGGUGGCGAAGGCGGCAUCCUGGACCAACACUGACGCUGAGGAGCGAAAGCCAGGGGAGCAAACGGG